CAAGUUGUCAAAAGUCAGCUGUAAGUAGGUGUAGGACCUGUGGUGGUUAUAUAUUGCUGCUUUCAUCGUGCACGUUAUUGUUCACAGCAUGCACAGAAAACAGAGAUCCUUAAAACUGUUCUUUAGUUUAGACACUGAGAUGUGAUAAAGUGGUUAGCGCCAUUCCAGAAGCACAGGUGUGCCAUGGAUAAUGUCCAUAAAAUCAAGUCUGAUUAUAUUCCUGACAAUCAAUCUGAAAUAAAACCAUGUGUGCUUUUGCUAAUGGAUCUGCAAUUGGACAGCUGAAAAGAAUUUGAAGAUGACCCUGUAAUCAGGCUUUUAAUUGUGGAUAACUCAUUCUGUGUUCCGACAAAGAGUUACAAAGUGUGGUGUUUCUCUGGGAAUUCCUCUGUCAAACAGUGUCAGGAUGAUCAAGAAGUCACACACCAAAUUAAUCUCUGAGAGCUGGGCUACAGCAGUUGCGGUCAGCUGGAGAGGAUUCAUUGUACUAAGGUGGAGGGCUAUUUGUGAAACAGCUUCGGUGCCCCUCAGAACUUUCACAGCAUCAGGAUCCAUUCCUCUGUGAGAAGAGGUCUGUGGGUUUAUUGCGUUCCAUCAGGAAACUCAGAUUUCAGGAUUUUGCCAUUUGCAAGCAGUAUGAAGAUGUCACCGUGGGAUAUACAGCUUGUUGUAAGCCCCUCAUGCCAAUUAAGAUGCCUGUACAAGGGCAAAAGAGGCACCUGGAGAAGUCCCACUAUUUGUUCAGGCCAGAGAUGAAGUCCUUGUGCUAAUUGCAAAGACACGUCCGAGUCAGAAGUGUUAGUCUCUGUUGUUCCAAGCACCUUACACCAAUACUUUCCUGCCAAAAGUAGCACAGGAGCAUGUCUAGUAGUGACUUGGACAGUGGCAAUGAAAAGGUGCCUUUUCCUUUGUGUUCACUGUGCUGAACAAAGCCUGAGCAUCUGGGCUUUUGGGACAGAGAAGUGAAUCAAUAACUCGAUGAGGAUUGUCAAGUAAUGCUGCUGUCUGCAUUGCCUUUAAUGGUUUUGGUCAAUAAGCUGCAAUUAUUUUACAAAUACGUGUUGUGUUCACUUCUAAAUCUAUCUUCCUGCUUCCUAUAUUAAUUUUUAAAAAUGAGAAAUGUCCCAAGUGCUUGCAUUGUAUGAAAUCUGUAUUUAAAAUGAAUUGGUAAAUAACAAAGGGACUUCAUUUGCUUAUUCAAAAGGCACACAUAUAAAGGAGCUAAUCUUCUGUAAUACAUUUUCCCCCAGUUUUUAUAUAACAUUCAUAAUAAAUCACCAUUUGACAGUUUUUGUAGACA
rnacentral:lncRNA from 1 species